AUUGAACGCUGGCGGCAGGCCUAACACAUGCAAGUCGAACGAGUGGCGGACGGGUGAGUAAUGUCUGGGAAACUGCCCGAUGGAGGGGGAUAACUACUGGAAACGGUAGCUAAUACCGCAUACCAUCGGAUUUACCCAGAUGGGAUUAGCUAGUGGGUGGGGUAAUGGCUCACCUAGGCGACGAUCCCUAGCUGGUCUGAGAGGAUGACCAGCCACACUGGAACUGAGACACGGUCCAGACUCCUACGGGAGGCAGCAGUGGGGAAUAUUGCACAAUGGGCGCAAGCCUGCGGCAGCCAUGCCGCGGGUAUGAAGAAGGCCUUCGGGUUGUAAAGUACUUUCAGCGAGGAGGCGUUACUCGCAGAAGAAGCACCGGCUAACUCCGUGCCAGCAGCCGCGGUAAUUC
rnacentral:rRNA from 1 species